rnacentral:rRNA from 1 species
UACGAAGGGGGCUAGCGUUGCUCGGAAUUACUGGGCGUAAAGGGAGCGUAGGCGGAUAGUUUAGUCAGAGGUGAAAGCCCAGGGCUCAACCUUGGAAUUGCCUUUGAUACUGGCUAUCUUGAGUACGGAAGAGGUAUGUGGAACUCCGAGUGUAGAGGUGAAAUUCGUAGAUAUUGGGAAGAACACCGGUGGCGAAGGCGGCUCUCUGGACCGUAACUGGACGCUGAGGCGCGAAAAGCGUGGGGAGCAAACAGG